CAUUUGUCGCCACUGGAGAUUAUAGCUGACUCUUCCAAGGACACAGCCAUAGCUGGAGAUCUGAAUAUCCUCAGCGGUUGUCAUACAAGGGAGAACAGUUUCCAGUUUUUGGAAGUCGAGUCAGGUCUGGUGGAGAAAGGGGACCAUGAGUCAGAGGAUGAGGUCAGCCUCUGGAAGCCAGAAGAGGUAAGCAACGAAAGGCAUUCUCUGCCGGAGCCUCCAGAGAAGAUCCCAGUCCCACCGACACCUUGAUGACAACCCAGUGAGAACCGUGUCAGGCUUCCAGCAUCCAGAACCGCAAGAUAACAAGCUGGUGUUGUUUUAAGCCACGACGUGUGUUUGCAGCAAUUUCUUACAGCAGCAACGGACACUGAUUAUGACGAAACUUGCUGUUGGCAUCCAAAGCCCAGAGAUGGAAUAAUAUCUCCUCUGUCCUUACACACUUGGAUGCUAACUUCUGCUUACAACACAGGACUCGGGCUUCCGGUACAGCUGCCCCCACCGGCUGGGUGACCUCCAGUCAAGCACCUUCCCCUCUGGGCCUUCAUUUCCUCCUAUGUGAAGGGGGUUUUAGAUGAUGAUUUCUUGGACCUCUUCCAGAAUGCUGUUCUGUGCCCACCGUUUCUGUAACUGUUUGGCUCGCUCAUGGUGGUUAACUGCAGGGAGGCUGGGGCACCAUUUCUCUGAGUGCUUUUGAAAGACAGAUGCUCCUUUGUGUUCUGCCUGUGGAAGCACUCCCGAUUUCCAGAGCACAGGUGAGGUGUGGGUGUGUGCGGAGAUAUUCACUGUACAUAUAUAUAUAUGUAUAGUGAAACUAUUGAGACGGGGCG